CCUACGGGAUGCACCAGUGGGGAAUAUUGCACAAUGGGCGCAAGCCUGAUGCAGCCAUGCCGCGUGUAUGAAGAAGGCCCUCGGGUUGUAAAGUACUUUCAGCGGGGAGGAAGGUGUUGUGGUUAAUAACCGCAGCAAUUGACGUUACCCGCAGAAGAAGCACCGUCUAACUCCGUGCCAGCAGCCGCGGUAAUACGGAGGGUGCAAGCGUUAAUCGGAAUUACUGGGCGUAAAGCGCACGCAGGCGGUUUGUUAAGUCGGAUGUGAAAUCCCCGGGCUCAACCUGGGAACUGCAUUCGAAACUGGCAAGCUUGAGUCUUGUAGAGGGGGGUAGAAUUCCAGGUGUAGCGGUGAAAUGCGUAGAGAUCUGGAGGAAUACCGGUGGCGAAGGCGGCCCCCUGGACAAAGACUGACGCUCAGGUGCGAAAGCGUGGGGAGCAAACAGGAUUAGAUACCCGUGUAGUC
rnacentral:rRNA from 1 species